GAGUGAGGGGAGGGGAGGGGGAGGCUGGGAGGGAGCCGCCGCCGCACGCGUGCGGGCCGCCGCCGUGGCCGCUCCUCUCACUCCAGCCUGUUUGGGGGGCACUUUGUUUGUGUCCCACAGUGCUCUGCGCGCAGAGCCGGGUUGGGGGAAAGGGAGGGGAAAGUGGGCGGUGCUACCUGGGGGCGGGGCCCAGAGUGGGGGGGGGAACGCGGCUGGUGCGCAAGCGCAGAGAAGACCCUUCUGGUGGUAGGGAUUUGAACUGGAGGCGACUGGGUCUCGAUGUGGGGUGCGAGGGCGCCCGCGUGACGCAGACGCCGCCGGGCCUGGACACCGGGCUGUUGGGCCCUCUUGGGGCCAGUGCUGGGUGCUUGAAGAGGGUGUGAGAAAGAAGUCCUCUCCUCUGCUUGGCUUGGGCAAGGCUCAAGAUGUAGAUGUGCUGCCCUGCGAAUCCCUUUGCCCACGGAACUGAUGUCGACGAGACCCGUUGAAAGGUCAGCAUUACUGUGUCCCUUGCCCAGCUUCCCAUGGUGUGCCACACUUCCUGCCCUACACAGGAUAAAGUAGAAUAAAGUCUGUUAUUCAGAAGCUUCACCAUCUGGUCCCAAACUACCUCUCUGAUCUAAUAGCCACUACACCCCUGCUUCAGCUUCUGUGUCGCUGACUUGGCCCACUUCUGUUCUCCAAGACUACUGUACCAAAUGCUGUCAUUGUCGUGGUCGCUCCUAGAAUGGCUGCUUCCUCCUCUGCCUAGUGGAAGACUUUACAUCCAUUAAGGCUGAGUUUAGUUCCAGGCCUCCAUAACCACUCCCAUUCACAGGUGUCUUACUGUCUGAAGCCCCUGUCAUUUCUGCUGUCUAAUCAAUGAGUGAUUGUAGUACUUAUGAUAUUCUUUUAAAAAAUUAUUUCAGAGAGAGAGAGAGAGAGAGAGAAAGAAUCUUCUGUCCACUGGUUCAUUCCCCAAAUGCCCACAGCAGCUAGGCCUGGGCCAGGUUGAAGCCAGGAACCUGGAAGUCAGUCUGGGUCUCCCACAUGGGUGGCAGAAAUCUAGCUACUUGAGCCAUCAUCUGCCACCCCCUAGAGCGCAUAUCAAUAGGAAGUUGGAAUCAAGAGUGAAGCUAGGAUUUGAACCCAGAAAGUCCAAUAUGGGAUUGGGGGUCCCUAGUGGUGUCUUAACCACUAUUACAAACACCCACCCUACUAGAUUCUUUCUUUUCUUUUCUUUUUUAAAAAAAGAUUUAUUGAUUUAUUUGAAAGGCAGAGUUAGAGAGAGAGAGAGAGAGAAAGAGAGAGAGAUUUCAUCUGCUGGUUCACUCCCCAAAUGGCUGCAACAGCCAAGACAGAUCAAAGGUGAAGCCAGAAGCCUGUGGCUUCCUCCAGGUCCCCCACGUCAGUGCAGGGCCCCAAGGACUUGGGCCAUCCUCCAUUGCUUUCCCAGGCACAGUAGCAGGGAGCUGGACUGGAAGUGGAGCAGCAGGGACCUGAACCAGUGCCCAUAUGGGAUGCUGGUGCUGCAGGCCAGGGCUUUAACUUGCUGAGCCACAGCACCAGCCCUGAUAUGUUCUUUCUUAUCUUGAUUUCAACCUACAGAUUUUAGAUUAGAAUCCGAGUCUAGUCUUCCCUGGACUGUUGAUCAUCUUCGUAACUCCUGUAGGGUUGGGUACUAUGUGCUGUACGUGACAGGGGCCUGAAAGUGCUUGUUGAUUAAAUGAAUAAUCCAUGCUUGAAAAAGCACGGAGUUGGCAGCAUUUAUUAGUGAAUCCGAUGACCUUUCAAGGACAUUCUUUGGUUAAGACUGGAAAAUUGGAAUGAAGUAAUAAUCCAAGUUAUUCUCAAGUCCAGAAAGGAGACCAGAGAACAUCAUGCCACUGAAAUCCCCUGAAGCCAUCCACAGUGUCAGCUUUACUGAGCGCCCAGCUUGAGUUGUUUCCAAAGUCCCAGGUUUCUUGUGAUUCUGUCACAGACUCAGAAGAUCUGAUCUUUACAAUCUGCAGCCCUCAACGGCUUUUAUAUUCAACAAGUACUUGACAGUUUGAAUUAAAUAAACAAUAAUGUGCCUAACCUUUUAUAAUUAGAGAUUUGGGAAUAUCUGGGAUAUGCACGUAAGUUAUAAAUGCUUUUUACAGCAAAAUUUAAUUUUUGGACAAUGCCCUUGGAAUUCUCUGAUUAGUCAGUGGUCACAAACCUUUUUUCUUUAAACAAUAGGUUUGACUUUUAGAAGCAUUGAAAUUCAUUUUUAGCCACAUCUGAUUAGUCAAAUGGAGACACAAGUCUGCUAAUAUGACUUCAGCACGAAACAAGGGAUUACAAAAAGAAAAAAAAAAAAGACAAACCGUCUCCCACUGCAUAAUUUUUAUGUGUGGCUUAUAAAAGGGCUGUGAAAGUAAUUCCACAAGAGAACUUUCAGAAAUGGAUUAAACUUUAGAAGCGUUCCGGUAAUCUCUGACCAAGAAUUUCUUGUGAGUCAUGAAGUAUGUGAUAUUCAGAAUAUCAUUUAGUUUCCUAGAAGCAAACUUGGGGCAGCCCAUCGCACAACCCUGGGGACUGUCACUUACCUUCUGUUCACAGCAAGUUUAAGUUUAAACAGUUUUUAAUGACAGAUUUCUAGCAGUUGUCAGUAAUGUAUCAUGAGGAAGGGGGUCUUUUUCGAAUUUACAGUGACUCGAACUCUGGUCCAAUGCUCUGUGGUCACAGGUAUAAAACAGGGUUCCUGGACUGGAGAAACUGAGAAUCUUGGGAAGCUUCUAGAUGAGCCGUGUUGGAACUGACACAUGAGAGUACUUAGGGUCUGACAUGAUACAUCGGUUGCCUGUCAUCACGGCACUGCCUUUCUUCUGUCUGUGGAGUAUUCUCUCCCCGACUCCUUAGGUGUUGGUUUAAUGGAGCAAUGACUGGUGUCUGUGGGAGGCGCUCUGAUAGGCAGCAGACCGAGGAGCAAGGAUGGGGAAUAGGAGCCGGAGGAUAGAGGGGCAUGGAGUGACCUGGGGGCGGAAUUCAGCAGGGGACACAGACAUGAGUAAGAGCUGGCCUUGACCUCAAUUUACAAACUGUGAGUAUUCCGUGGUGGGAUGGGAGAAGGAUGUAAACAGAAUCCUGCGGGUAAACACAGGACAGUUCCCCAUGUCUGGGCAAGCUGAAGAAGCCUUCCUGGAGGAGGUGACAUUUAAGCUAAGGCUUGAAGCAUUGUCAGGCCCUGACACACGGAGAAGGGGGAAGUCAUGAGAUGAAAGUGGCCUAAGGGCUGUCAUGAGAGAGGUGACCCCUUGCUCCGGGCUUCCUCCAGUCCUCAGCCACUGCCCGCGUUUCCUGGGAUGCUUUGGCUCCAGGCAGAGAGUUCUUUACGAGACAUCAUCCGGAACGUGUGUGAAGCAAUGAAUAAUGCCACCACCCGUUGGACAUCAGGUUUCAUUGCAGAGGAAACCGAAGGAGAGUGCCCCAAAUUCUUUGACUGCAUUGGGAGGAAUCAUGGUCUUCUACAUGGGAGGUGGGGAGUUCACACCUGGUCAAGGCUCAGCACUCCGAGGACAGACGAGUGUGGUACACAUUGCACAUCUCUGCCAAGGCCGACUCUGGAUUCCAGGGUUCCACACCACUGAGUCAGAUACAUCCAGAGAUUUGGUUGUAACCAAAAUGCUGUUCCAGUGAGUGAUGUCCCCAAUUGCCUAAGGACAUAAGGUAUUGCAUUCCUACCCACUGUCAUUUGCAAAGCACCUACUUAUAACGUUCUCCCAUUUGAAGUCAAUAAGGCAUUUUCUAGAAGACACUGAAAUUCACAGGGACUGUGGCUUACUCAGGGCCACCUGUAGAUACUUGAUAAAGAGCAGAGACGAAACUUGAACCAGAACAUCUAACUCUGUAUCUGAUGCUCUUUGAAUAUACACGCUAAUCCCCUUUGACAUGUGUGUGACAUUGAAGUCAUGUUGAAAUGGUUGGAAGCUGAAGUUCUUUGUUUUUAGAUUUAUUUAUUUGAAAGACAGAGUGGGAGUGAGAGAGAGAGACAGACAGACAGACAUUCCAUAUGCUGGUUUCUCCCCUAAAUGGCUGCAAUGGCCAGGGCCAGGCUGAAGCCUGGAGCCUGGAACUCCAUUGGUCUCCCACAUGGGUGGCUGGGGCCCAAGGACUUGGGCCAUCUUCUAUCGCCUUCCCUGGUGCAAUAGAUGGGAGCUGAAUCAGAAGCAGAGCAGCCAAGACUCAAACAGGUAUUUUCCCAUAUUGGAUGCCAGGUAUGCAAAUGGUGGUCUCGUGUGCUGUACUACAACGCUGGUCCCAGGAAGCUGAAGUUCUAGCAAAUUCUUCCUCAGAUUUCAUUUCUAGCUGGGGUGAGGCUAUCCAGACCAGUGGAGUACUGAAUCAGUUUUUCUACAUUGAUCCCCUGGGAUAGCACCCAUAACUGUGAGAAAUAGAUUUCUGUUGCUGAAGCCUUGUAGUUGGUUUGGUUAUGGCAGCCGGAGCUGACUGGAACUGCGCACUGCUGUGUGACCAGCAAGAACUUGGCCUCCACACAUGAAGCCAUCAGCAAAGAAUCCUUGCCCUCUAGUCGGAAAGAGGGGCAGGCACUAAAUGAACAAUGGACAUGCAGUGUAUACAAUGGCUAAUUAUGAAAAAAAGAGUCACAGGGCCUCAUUUAGGUUGGGGAAGGCGGAGAGAACCACCUGAGGCUAUGCCUUCCCGCCCGAAACUCAAAGGAAGAAGUGGGGAUGCCCAGCAGUGAGCAGAGGAGAGAGCCUGGGCUGGGGCAGGCAGGUGCGGAGGCCUGCUGUGACAAAGGGCCUGAGAAACUGAUGGGGGAAAACGUCACCGGAGGGGCGCAUUCAGACUGCGCAAUAGGACUGGGAGCCUGCAGGCAACCUUCAGGUGGGACCUUGUUAGGAGGUUUGGAUUUUUAUCUGACAGUGACAGGGUGUCCCCUCUCCUUCUACUGGGGUGAGAGAUACACUGUUGGGUUCCACGGAGUGGCACCUGCGUUCAGUGAAAUGUGGCGGUGUGGUGAGGCUGAGGAUACUGCGGAGUGGAAGGCAGUUUCUGUGGAGGACUGGAGAUGGAGCUGAGUGGGGGAGCCUGCUGGGGUCGCUGGACAGAGUUCACACCAUAACUGUAGAGUUCAGUGGUUCUCCAGUGGUGUGGAUGUUGCUUGUUGGCACGAAGGAGGUGGGUAUGAGGGAAGAGCUGAAUGGGUCCGGAGUGAAGGUUUGCACAUCACAGAUGGUUGGUGGGACAAGGAAUGUCGGCAAGAUCAAGGUUGAGGUGCUGGAGCUUGGAGUCCCAGGAGUAGAGGCAGAAGCAAAGACAUCUGGGGAAAGUACAUUUAAAUGGCGAUAGUCAGGGCUGGAGGCCCAUGAUGAACAAGGAUAAGUUUAGUGGGGACUGAUGAGCAUUCUAGAAGCAUGGGAAGUUGUGAUUGGCGAGUAGGAUUUUUUUUUAGUAAGACAUUCUUCAAACUUUUCUUUAAAGAUUUAUUUUAUUUAUUUGAAAGAGUUACAGAGAGAUAGGGAGAUAUAUACACACACACACACACACACACACACAGAGAGAGAGAGAGAGAGAGAGAGAGAGAGAGAGAUCUUCUAUCCAUUGGUUCAUUCUCCAGAUGGCUGCAACAGCCAGGGCUGGGCCAGGCCAAAGUCAGGAGCUAAGAGCUUGCUCCCAGUCUCCCACUUGGACUGGAAGUGGAACA